rnacentral:rRNA from 1 species
UUAAGCUAAUAAGAGCGCAGGGUGGAUGCCUUGGCACUAAGAGCCGAUGAAAGACGUGAUAAGCUGCGAAAAGCUUCGGGGAGGAGCAAAUAUCCAUUGAUCCGGAGAUAUCUGAAUGGGGAAACCCGGCUGAGAAGACCUCAGUCAUCCAUACGCCAAUCCAUAACGUAUGGAAGGGAACCCGGUGAACUGAAACAUCUAAGUAGCCGGAGGAAGAGAAAACAACAUGUGAUUCUGUGAGUAGCGGCGAGCGAAAACGGAAGAGCCCAAACCGGGAUGCGUGCAUCCCGGGGUUCGGACCGCAUAAUUGAUUCAACGAAUUUAGCAGAACGGUUUUGGGAAAGCCGGCCAGAGAGGGUGAAAGCCCCGUAAGCGAAAGACGAGUUGACAUGGCGGGAUCCAGAGUACCACGAGACACGUGGAACCUUGUGGGAAGAUGCGGGGACCACCCCGUAAGGCUAAAUACUACUUAGUGACCGAUAGCGCAUAGUACUGUGAAGGAAAGGUGAAAAGGACCCCGGGAGGGGAGUGAAAGAGAACCUGAAACCCUGUGUCUACAAGCUGUGGAAGUGCUUUAUAUGCACGACCGCGUACUUUUUGUAGAACGGUCCGGCGAGUUACGCUUACUGGCAAGGUUAAGCACUUCAGGUGCGGAGCCGUAGGGAAACCAAGUCUUAAGAGGGCCAGAGUCAGUAGGAGUAGACCCGAAACCGGGUGAUCUAUCCAUGUCCAGGUUGAAGCUGCCGUAAGAGGUAGUGGAGGACCGAACCCACAUCCGUUGAAAAGGGUGGGGAUGAGGUGUGGAUAGGGGAGAAAUUCCAAUCGAACCCGGAGAUAGCUGGUUCUCCUCGAAAUAGCUUUAGGGCUAGCCUCGUUUUAGUCUUAUGGAGGUAGAGCACUGAAUUUCCGCGGGGGCGUCAAAGCUUACCAAAGAAUAUCAAACUCCGAAUGCCAUGUAGAUGAUGAAUGGGAGUCAGACUGCACGAGAUAAGUUGGGUGGUCAAAAGGGAAAGAGCCCAGACCUACAGCUAAGGUCCCAAAGUGCGUGUUAAGUGGAAAAGGAUGUGGGAUUUCGAAGACAACUAGGAUGUUGGCUCAGAAGCAGCCAUACAUUCAAAGAGUGCGUAAUAGCUCACUAGUCGAGAGGUCCUGCGCCGAAAAUGUCCGGGGCUGAAACACGACACCGAAGCUUAGGAAUCACAUAGUGAUUGGUAGAGGAGCAUUCUUAAAACCGACGAAGCUGUACCGGAAGGAGCAGUGGAGGGAUAAGAAGAGAGAAUGCCGGAAUGAGUAGCGAGAGGAAGGUGGGAAUCCUUCCGGCCGAAUAUCUAAGGUUUCCAGAGUAAAGCUGAUCUGCUCUGGGUAAGUCGGGGCCUAAGGCGAGGUCGAAAGACGUAGUCGAUGGAUAACAGGUUGAAAUUCCUGUACUGCAUAUCAUCAGAACUGUGGGGACACAGAGAGAUACCGGAACCUGGGAAUGAAGAUACCAGGGCAAGCGAGGUAGGUGCUAAGCUGGCAAAACCGCUUAGUAAGCCGAAGACGUGAUGCGGAGCGAAUUAAAGUAGUGAAGUCCGGGAUUCGAGCUGUCGAGAAAAGCCGCUAUUGUGUGAUAUGUACCCGUACCGUAAACCGACACAGGUGGAUGAGGAGAGAAUCCUAAGGCCGGCGGGAGAAGCAUUGUUAAGGAACUCGGCAAAAUGACCCUGUAACUUCGGGAUAAAGGGUGCCACAGAGAUGUGGCCGCAGAGAAUAGGCUCAAGCAACUGUUUAGCAAAAACACAGGUCUAUGCGAAACCGAAAGGUGAGGUAUAUGGGCUGACGCCUGCCCGGUGCUGGAAGGUUAAGAGGAGAGGUUAGCGCAAGCGAAGCUUUGAACUUAAGCCCCAGUAAACGGCGGCCGUAACUAUAACGGUCCUAAGGUAGCGAAAUUCCUUGUCGGGUAAGUUCCGACC